GCCGCUUCGAAACCAAACAAGGACGGAAAAGAUCCAGCGCUUUUGUUCCGGAUACACAGGCAUUCUGCCUUCUCGCCUAACCAUACGGACUCCCGAUAAAAGUUUAAAUGAAGAAAGCCUUGACGUGAUUGGUGUUGUGAAUAAACCCUAACCCAUUCUCAAAGUAGAA